rnacentral:rRNA from 1 species
GGAGUUUGGACCGUGUCUCAGUUCCAAUGUGGGGGACCUUCCUCUCAGAACCCCUACUGAUCGUCGCCUUGGUGGGCCGUUACCCCGCCAACAAGCUAAUCAGACGCAUCCCCAUCCAUUACCGUUGAAAACUUUGGUCUCGCUUAGAUGUCUGCACGAGACCGCAUCAGGGAUUAAUCCAGUUUUCACUGGGCUAUACCUGAGUAAUGGGCAGGUUGGAUACGCGUUACUCACCCGUGCGCCGGUCGCCAUCAGAGUCUGCAAGCAAACCCUAUGCUGCCCCUCGACUUGCAUGUGUUAAGCCUGUAGCUAGCGUUCAUC